ensembl:snRNA U6 U6 spliceosomal RNA
GUGCUUGCUUCAGGAGCACAUAUACUAAAAUUGGAACAAUACAGAGAAGAUUAGGAUGGUUCCUGCACAAGGAUGACACAUAAAUUUUUGAAGUGUUUCAUAUUUUU